UGGGGAAUAUUGCACAAUGGGCGAAAGCCUGAUGCAGCGACGCCGCGUGAGGGAUGACGGCCUUCGGGUUGUAAACCUCUUUCAGUAGGGACGAAGCGCAAGUGACGGUACCUGCAGAAGAAGCACCGGCUAACUACGUGCCAGCAGCCGCGGUAAUACGUAGGGUGCGAGCGUUGUCCGGAAUUACUGGGCGUAAAGAGCUCGUAGGCGGGUAAGCAAGUUAGAAGUGAAAUCCUAUAGCUCAACUAUAGUAAGCUUUUAAAACUGCUCAUCUUGAGGUAUGGAAGGGAAAGUGGAAUUCCUAGUGUAGCGGUGAAAUGCGCAGAUAUUAGGAGGAAUACCGGUGGCGAAGGCGACUUUCUGGCCAUAACCUGACGCUGAGGUACGAAAGCGUGGGUAGCAAACAGG
rnacentral:rRNA from 1 species